rnacentral:rRNA from 1 species
ACGGGGUGCAGCAGGCGCGAAAACUCUACAAUGCAGGCAACUGCGAUAGGGGGACAUCGAGUGGCACCCACCUUGGGUGUCUGUCCAACCGUCUAAAAAACGGUUGUUAGCAAGGGCCGGGUAAGACCGGUGCCAGCCGCCGCGGUAAUACCGGCGGCUCGAGUGGUGGCCGAUAUUAUUGAGUCUAAAGGGUCCGUAGCCGGCUUUGCAAGUCCUCUGGGAAAUCCAGCGGCUUAACCGUUGGGCUUCCAUGGGAAACUACAUUGCUUGGGACUGGGAGAGGUAGGAGGUACUCGAGGGGUAGGGGUGAAAUCCUGUAAUCCUUCGGGGACCACCGGUGGCGAAGGCGUCCUACCAGAACAGGUCCGACGGUGAGGGACGAAAGCUAGGGGCACGAACCGGAUUAGAUACCCGGGUAGUCCUAGCCGUAAACGAUGCCCGCUAGGUGUCACGGCGGUCGUGAAUCGCCGUGGUGCCGUAGGGAAGCCGCGAAGCGGGCCACUUGGGAAGUACGGCCGCAAGGCUGAAACUUAAAGGAAUUGGCGGGGGAGCAC